UCCCAAUAAAAGUGGCCACAUUUCUUUUUUGGGUGUCCCAUUAAAAGUGGCUACUUUCUAAAAAUGGCAAAAGUUUACUUUAAUUAAGUCAACAAUUACUCACUAAUUUGGUCAACAAUUGUAGGCCACUUUCUAAAAAUGCCAAAAUUACUCAUUAAUUUGGUCAACAAUUGUAGGCCACUUUCUAAAAAUUACUCACUAAUUUUGGUGGGUCACACUCAAUUAAACCAUAACAAUCCCCUUCUUAAUCUCCGUGCCCAAAAAAAAGUGGCCACUUUUAUUGGGACGGAGGGAGUAUUAAAAGUGGUCACUUUCCCAAAAUGGAAAUAUUGUUAGUUGAUUAAGCUCAAUUAAUUCAUUUAAUUAAAAGUGCUAAUUAAAACUUAUUUGUAACUAUCUUCCUCUUGCCUCUUUCUAAAAUUUGUAAGCCCAAUUUGCAUCGACGGAAAAUCUACUCCCUCUUGCCUCACGCCGCUGCUACUGUUCCACCACGGCGGCGCUCGUCCCUCAGGCGGCGGCGAAGGCGCUUGUCGCUAUUGGAGUGGGCGGUGUCUGUGUGUGUUCUGUUUGGAGCAAGAGAGAGAAAUAGAGGAGCGUCUAGUUUGGUGUCGCAGGCUAGAGCUCUGGCUGGCGGCAGCCCUGGAUUGGGGGCCUAGCGAGAGCUGAUGGAGACGACGCCGCAUGGAGCAGCGACGUCAACGCCUAGAUCUGAGGGUGGUCAGCGGUGGUGGUGGAUCGCCUAGAUCUGAGGGUGGCCUUAAAUUGAGGGCAGUGAUCUGCACCAUCUCUGAUGCAUGUGUAUUUGGGCAUCCCUAAUUUCUGUUUUGUUUUUUUUUUUAAUUGAGAAACAAUCGAGAGAUCGGUGGUUUGAGGAAUUGAUAAGACUCAAUGGUAGAUAAAUUCGCUGAUUUUGGUUUCUAGGAAUUUCGAUUUCUAGAAAUUUUGGAUCAAAUUUUUGUUUUGGAAUCCAUAGAGAUUUUUUGGGGGAAUAAUGUACUGUAUUUUCCGGUGGGAUUUUGUU